rnacentral:rRNA from 1 species
AUGCGGAGGGGGUUAGCGUUGUUCGGAAUUACUGGGCGUAAAGCGCACGUAGGCGGAUUGGAAAGUUGGGGGUGAAAUCCCAGGGCUCAACCCUGGAACUGCCUCCAAAACUAACAGUCUAGAGUUCGAGAGAGGUGAGUGGAAUUCCAAGUGUAGAGGUGAAAUUCGUAGAUAUUUGGAGGAACACCAGUGGCGAAGGAGGCUCACUGGCUCGAUACUGACGCUGAGGUACGAAAGCGUGGGUAGCAAACAGGAUUAGAAACCCCAGUAGUCC